UACGUAGGGUGCAAGCGUUAAUCGGAAUUACUGGGCGUAAAGCGUGCGCAGGCGGUUAUGCAAGACAGAUGUGAAAUCCCCGGGCUUAACCUGGGAACUGCAUCCGAUACUGCGUGGCUAGAGGUAGGUAGGGGAGAUCGGAAUUCCUGGUGUAGCGGUGAAAUGCGCAGAUAUCAGGAGGAGCACCGGUGGCGAAGGCGGUGGUCUGGGCCGGCACUGACGCUGAGGAGCGAAAGCGUGGGGAGCAAACAGG
rnacentral:rRNA from 1 species